UCCACCUAUUUCAUCAUUGUUAUGCAUGCAUGCUCAGAGUUUUAGUAUUAUUUGUGGGGAUUUAUUUGUAGUUUUUGUUAGGAUGAUUGAAUCCUUCUUACUAACAAUGUUUUACAUGUAUUUAACUUUAAGGUUGUAAAAUUCCUUGUAUCCUUUUUGGCUUCUUUACCAAGUAACUUAAGAAUAUUUUUCUAUGCCGAUAGACCACAAGUAACUUGAGUCUUGUAAGUGUAUGAGUAAAUAACUCUAGUUAGCUUUAUAACUAUAGUUAGUUGACAGUUGUGUUUAGUUAGAUUUAUGUUACAACUGAAUCUCAAUAGUAUAAAUACUGCUCUUGUAAGAGAUUACAGUGCCUUUGUAAUAUUUUCUCAAUGCAAUAUACAAAUCUCUUUUCUCUUCUCUAUACUUUCUACAUGGUAUCUAGAGCUCUCUGAUCCAUUUUCAUGGCUUCCGCAAAUACUGAUGCAACUUUGGUUAACACCGGCGACACUGGUGCGAUCUGACUCCAGCAAACAACACCGGUGCGACUCUGUCUCUAGCGAACAACUCCGCAAAUCAAGUCAGCGAUCACUAUGCGUGGACUCAAUCGCUUCGUUGUGAAUCCUCAAAUCCCUCCGCAAUAUGUCUUUGAUGAAGAUUGCGAUCUUGAUCGCGUUAAUCCUCUCUUCUCGAUGUGGUAGGAACAAGAUUAGUUUCUCCUUGUUUGGCUUCAGUCAACGCUCUCGAGCUCGAUGCUUGCUCGUGUUCUUGGAUAGACGUACUCGUAUCAAGUGUGGGACAAGACCCAAGUGUAUUUCCAUCAUCAGACAUGAACAAAGGCACAACAGCUUCAAUUGGAGCUCCGUCACAAGACGCUUGACAAUUGUCCAGUUUCUGAUUUUCUCUCUUACAUCAAAGAGCUUAUUGAUGCACUUGCUUCGGUUGGUGAUGCUGCUACCUAUCGUGAACACAUGGAUGCAAUUCUUGAAGGUCUACCUAGGAAUUUUGACUCAACGAUUGCUCUAAUUGAGAGUCGUCUACCACACAUCACCAUUGAAGAAGCGGAAGGUUACAUUCUUGUGCAGGAACUAUGACUUCGAAAAAUACACCAGACUCAAAUCUUCGAGUAAUUCCUUCACAUGAAUAGUGAAUCUUACUUAAACGACUUCUUCGCAUUCCACUGAGAAUGAUAACUCAAAUUCGUACUCUGACACCAAUACAGUGUAUACGAAUCUGUAUUCCUCUGAUUCUAAAGGGGAGAAUUUUGGGGCAAGGACCUUAGGAAGGCUUCUGCCUGGGAGAAGGGCUGCAUAUUUUAUAGUGUCUCUUUAUUUGUUAAUACUUUCCUUUUGUUUCUGAUUCUAAUGUUUGCUUAGUUCAGAUCAGUGAGUUGUAAUAUAAAUUGAGGUUUUUCAGUAUUAUUAUUUUUAGUGUUUGUUAA